CGGCUUGAACACGACCUCCAUUAGCCUUUUUGAUCAGCGGUGCUAAUUGGUCGACUUGAACGAACCAACGAUACAUUCGCCCUCUUGUGCCAUACUUGCGACCUUUCGAUCCCUCGAAACAUGCACAUAACCUCACUGCAUCGCGGCUGUAAUUUUCUCUAAAGCUGAUGUAAAAACGUCUCGAGAGGUUGUGAAUAUCGGACAAUGUGAACGGUUGGAUCUGGCUGAUAAUUAUCGCUCAGUACCAAUCUUCUAUCAUCACCAUACACACUGUACAGGACGGAAUGAAUGGCAAUGGAUUACCAGCGCACAAUUAACACGACACAGAUGGAACGAUAUGAGAAAAGAAAUCGAUAAUCUUAUAAUCGUUGACAAGAUCGAUAGUACGAUCGUUUAAUAGUAAUGAAGACAAUAUGAAAGAAUAGAGAUGGAUAAAAUUUUAACGAUUUAAGAUACCACUUCACCAAAUUGGAUCCAGCACCGCAAAAUGCUGAGAUCUAUAACAGAAAUCCUAACAACCGUUAGGCGAGAAUCAUGGAAUUAUGUUAAUUUUCUACGGCAUGUCUCGCGACUGAUAUUCAUGAGCCGGCGUGGCCCGUUACAACACAGAGGAGAGGCAAAUUAGAAGGAGGAGGAUUAGAAGGCCGUCGUCCAGGCGAAGAUCCAGUGGAAGCAUCCAGUCGGGUACGAAUAUCUGGUGGUCCAUUCAAGGGUGCAUAACAUACAGGGCGGCGAGUGAAUUUGCCCGUUUCGCCGCAACAACGGACGAUGCUCGGCUUGUAAACGAUGCAUGACAAUCGUUGUUGCAUCCGUUAGUCGAAGAGUAUUCGAGUCCUUCCUGUUCUCACCACCCCCUUCGCGGUUCUAUCUUCUCCUAUUCGAUCAUACGUAUAUAGAGAUUGGAUAGGAUGGGUUGGCUAGAAUGGUUUGGGGCAUCAUAGAACAAGGAUUCGCGAGGAAGAGAUGGACGGGAGAAAGAGAGAUGGAUAUAGGAGAAGGAGGUGGAGGAGCAGCAGCCGAAUUCCUAGCAUACCGCGGGGCCAACUGGUUAGCAAGCGAUUUACGAUAUUGUAAACCGAUGCGACGGCGGCGGCCGUGCCCACCGCCGAACCUCAAUCUAAUAGUGGCGACUUCGACCUCCAAUGCCAAAGGCACGUCGCCCCCGAACCGGUAACAUUGUUCGCCCCGCUUUUACUUCCGCCAUACAGUACAAACCUGGAUGGACUCUCUAGAUGCGACGAGUUUCUCAUUCUUAUGGUGAAUGGUUUAAAAGAUGAUAUCUAGGAGAAAGUGUUUGUAUUUGUGAUAAAUGAUUUUUUAGAUUUGCAAUAGAGAAUUUGUUUGACAGAGAUAAAUUUUGGUAAGUGUUAAAAAAGAUAAUAGAAAAUCUCUUUUGAUAAAAAAAUAUUGCUUGUUUUAGAUUAAAUAAUAAGAACAGAUAAAUUCUAAGAUAACUUUGGACUAAUUUUGAUGAGUCUGGGAAAAUGAUGUCUAAGAGAAAAUAUUUCCCAUUUGUAAUGAUUUUUAACAUUUGUUGAAAUGGACAGUUUGUUUGAUAGAGAUGAAUCUUGAUUAAUGAUAAGAAGAUAUUCAAAGUUGAAAUUUGUAAUUUUGAGAUGAAUUUGCCAUUCUGAUGAUGAAUGUUUUCAAAGAUGAUAUCUGUAGAAAAUAUUUCCACUUAAAGUAAGUAAUUUUUGAAAUUUGGAAAAUUUAUUUGAUGGAAAUAAUUUUGAUACACAACGUUUGUAAUCCACUAAACCGAGAGCAUCGAGGGUAUCCAUGCCAUGCGCACCGAAUAAUUAGAAGCGAAAGCGAGAUUCGAGAAAAUCGAAGGAUGGAGAGAUGCAGAAAUGACUGAGCAGAGAAAAGACAGAGAAAGGGAGGGCGCAUUACAAACGUUGGUAAUCUAGUUGCGAACGUAGCUCGGGGUUGGAGCCUGGAGCAACCAUGCGGAAUAAUGAUAUGUAAUCUCAAAACAACCUGCGGCCUCGCCAAGGCACACGCGAGCGGACGCGUGCUUGCACACGCGUGUGUUACACGUUACCUGCUCGCAUGUUACUAUCCCAGAAGCUGUUGCGGAAUAGGCGGAAGCGCUCGUGACCGCGGUAAAUGACACGAGCAAACGAAUCGACUGAAACGCAUGCCCCUCUUCUCUCGACACCCACACCACCAGUAUCUCUCGUUCAUCACCCUAACUUUCGCCGUUGUUACUUGCAGUUUUGAUGUAUACAACGAACCGCUUCCACUCUACCGAUACCACCGCUAAUUAUAGUUUAAUAAUGAUCCGGUCGCGCGUUAGUCCGCCAACAGCAUUCUCGCCGUUGAAUUAAAAUUGUAUUGGAAGGGGUUGAUUCGAGUUUUGGAGAGCGAAUUCGAUGGAUGAUUGGCGAGACGGUAUGUGAAUGUUUUAAGAGAUAAUGUGUUGCAAUCUGAAGUUUUUUUGAUUGUUGAAAUGUGAAUAGUUGGAUGUGGAUUUUUCAAGAGAUGAGCAAUGAUUUGUUGCAUGUAGAAUAUAAUAUUUUGAUGAUGGUAAGUGUGAAAAUAUUUUUGUUUUGUUUAAAAAUGUUUUAAUAAAUAUUAGAAAUGAAAUAAAUAGAUGUGAAUAAUUAAUAUAAUUGUUGCGUUUAGAAAUGUUUUAAUAUGAUGACUUGUUGCAUAGAGAAUAUAGAUUUUUGAUUGGUAAUAAAUUGUUGAAAGAUAAAUUUAUAAACAUGCAAUAGAUACGCAGAUACAAUUGUUGCGUGUUUGGAGAUAUUUGAAUAUUAUAUUUGAAUAUAUUUGAAUAUAAUUGGACGUGUGAAUAUUUUAAGAAAAUGGAUAAUGCUCUGCAUUCAUAUAAAAUAUAGUUUUGUGAUAAAUUGUUUAGACUAUUUUUUGAUUAAGUUUUUAGACCUUUAUUACAAUCUUACACAAUUAUUCCAUGUUUAGAAAUGUUUGAAUUAUUGAAUAUAAAUCUCGAAAAAUUCCUUGAAUAAGAAAACAAUGAUUUUUUGAAUAAAGAAUAAAUAGUAUUAGAUACUAUAGAAAAUUUGGAUAUUUUUGUGAUCUAAAUAAUUUUAAUGUAUCUUCUAAAAAAGAAAAAAAUAUUGUAAUGAAUAUAUAUCAUUUUCCAAUUAAAAGAAAUAUAUUCACCAUUGGAAAAAAAAUCUGUGAUUUUGCAAAGUUCAUGUUUAACGAAGUAAACAGAUGAAAGUUGUAGAGGGAAGAAAAUGGACGCACGCAAUUAGCCCGCAGCCGAAAGUUGCGCGGGCGUGCAAUAAGCUAUAUACAGUGUAAAAUUCCAUUCGACGAUCUCGUCCCAGCCCCAAAAACGGAUUUCCGCCGAAAUAACUGUUAACGUUGCGAAUUGCAUCUCUGGCAUGCGCGUUGCACGUGCGGAUCGGAAAAUUUCAACUGCAAAGCUACCUGCACGUUUCCCUCAUACCAUUUCCCUCUCUCUAUUUUUAUUCCUCUUUCUCUCUCUCUCUUUAUUUCGCACUCUUUGUCUUUCUUAAUUUUCUUCCCCCUUUUUUUUUUCAACUUUUCAUUUUCUUUUCUAAGAAAAUAUCUUUUUCUUUCUCUGUAUAUAUCUAUUUUUUUCCAGCUUUUCUGUUUCAGUUUUAAUUUUGUGUUUUUGUAUUUUCCUUCAUUUAAUUUCUUAGAUAUUUUCUUAUUGCUUUCUCUUUCCGACUUAAAGACUUUAUUUUUUAAAGCAUUUUUCCUUUACAUCACCAAAGGAGAAUUACUUAUUACAAACAAAGAAAAUCUUGAUACAUAAAAUCGUCCAUUAAAAUUCAAUAACAAGUUCCAAUCAACAAACAUUAUCCUUUUGAUCUCGACAUCGCGUUACAUAUAUAAAGUAAAUAAACAGAGAUCGCCUUAUGAACUCUCCCUAUUAAACAUCUAAUAAUCAAGCAAUCGAAGCAGAAACACGCGAAAAUUAUAAAAACAAGAGAAUGAGUCUAUGCAGAGGGGAAACGGCUCACGCAACCCCGACAAAUAGAGGGAAUUAAAAGUAAUCACGCGCAUAUUUACGCGGCCGAUGAACAGAAUGGUUGCGUCAACCGCAAAAAUGUAACUGCACGCGAGCGCAGGUGUAUGCGUUCGAUUGUCGAGUGUGCAACGAGAGGGUGGUGUAGACCAGGAAGGGGAGAAAAGGGAUGGAACAACACACGCGGAUGAAAAUGGUCUCUCCACUGGUUCUGAUAUGGCUCGUACAUUGGAAUCGCUUGGAUAUGGGUGGAGUGAAACCGGAUGUGGGAGCGGGAAAUAGAAGGGAGGAGAGAAUACGAGGAUAAGUGGAAAUAAGGUUAUGUGAACGAAGGGAUAAAUUGUUGAUGAAAAUUGAUGGGUAAGUAAAAAGAAGGAGAAGGAGAAAAACAGAAAUAUAUAAUAUUUAUCCAUACAUAUAUAUAUAGGUUAUUUGAGAAUUGGAAAAAUGAAUGAAGAAACUUUUGACAUAAGAUAAUAUGAUCAUGAUAAUUUGAGUUUAAUUGAAAUGUAAAGAUUAAUUUUGUGUGUUUAAAUUUCCGUAAGAAUUUAUAGUUUAGAUAUAGUUUGUUAUUGAGAAUGCUUAAUUGAAAAAAAUAUAAUGAGAAUAUAACUCAACAUGUCACCUAGUAGCGCCUAUUUUAUCGUUAUCUUAUGUAAAAUGACAAAUGGCCUCUGAAAAAGCUAACCGUAAUAUCUUAAAAUAGAAUUCUUAAAAAAUUCACAGGAAGCUCUAAACAAUAACAAAUUUCAAAAUAAACUAGAUCGUAAAAAUCUAUCAAAUUUAUGAUACGAGGUUGUUGCCGAUGAAUUAAACGAAGGCUGUAUGGUUAAGAGUCAAACAAAAUCGUGGAUUUACGUGGAGAUGACGCCUAUCAUGAGAACGACAAUGAACCUUUGGAAGUUUUCACGAGCACAGGGGAUAAGCGAAACCUCGUAAAUUAGCCACGUCGCAUCAAGCCCGAUAAUUAAGGCGAAGCGCCGUUAAAGACGCCGGGGCCACGCUGUUUCAGAACUUGGCCAUCAUCCAACGAAAGAGAGACGUGUGUGCCAGGAACACGUGCGUGAAGUUGCCUCACCCGUGAAUCACGAGCUCGAAGCGGAUCCGCGCCGAUGAAUUUCUGGAGCGGGCCGCGUGUGUAUCCGAUGAAAUCGUACGUGGCAAGUGUUGUGUGCGUCUUGGAAACGCCAGAGCUCGAGAAUAAUUUCCUCUCGUUACCGAGAAAUCAUUAAGUUCUGUUCGUGAAACGCCGGUUUGAUGAUUUGAGGAUCCUUGCAAUUAGUUUGUUUGGAUAUUUAUGGUUCUACUCGUCAUGUUUCGUGAAGUUUUCCAUGAAAAAGGAGUUGGUGCCAUCUAUCGUGUGAAAUAAUAUAUACUUAUAAUAUGAUUCGUAUCAUAAUGUAAGGAAAGAAGAUGAAAAAACAUGCACUGUACAAUGAAACCUAAUCUCCAAAUUGAUUCAUGCCAUCUAUCAUAUCAAAUAGCAAUAUACUUAUAACUCAUAUCAUAAUGUAAGAAAAGAAGAUAAAGAAAUACAUACUGUACAGUGAAACUUUCAUAAAAUGAAACCUAACCUACAAAUUGAUUCAUGCUAUAUUAUCAAAUGGCAUUAUAUACUUGUAAUAUAACUUAUCAUUAUAAAAUAAAAAAAAAAGCACUAUCUAUUUAACCAAAUACCAAUUAUAUAUUCAUUAUCAUCAUAUUCCCGCAAAAUUUGCAAUAUACUCGUGAAAUUUAACAUGUAUCUCGAACUGUACCAGAUUUAAUACCCAAAAAAAAACCAACAAUCAGAUUGAAACACAAAAUCAGUUGAAUUAUUGUCAUUGAUAAAUACGUAUAGAAGCCUCUUUCGUAUCUCACGUAACGGUAUACAUCAUUGGAAUGGAAGUUGACCGAGAGAUUUUAUCUUCCACUUCAUAAAACGAGGCGGAUUUCGAUCUUCUUGUAAGCGCGCAUUUGUAUAGGCUGAUCCACCCAAUUGGAACCACUUGGCUGACGUUUGUAAAGUUGCCAAGAGGGAUUCUCUGGCAUUGGACGAGCGAGAAAAAGGAAAUAAAUGCCGGAAAAUAAAAUUAAAAAAACGUAUAUCAAGUGGAAAAUGCAUGUUUGAUAUAUCUUUGAAUUUAUAUAUUUUUUUUUAAGUUAUAUUAAUUGAAAAAUCUUAUGAAGAAGGAAGUAUUAUAUUCAUAAAGACUAUUAUUAUUUUUUUCAAAUAAUGUAAUUCUAAGUAGUUUAAUAAAAUAUAUAUUGUAUCUUCCUAAAGGUUUAUUUUUCAAAGGAUUUUCAUUAUAAAAAUUUAUUAUCAAAAUUAAUAACCAGAAGAUUAUAGGCUGGAUAAAUUGGCAGCUUCGUUCGUUUCGAUUUAAUAGCAGCAGAUUUUUUCUUUGAGGGAAGAAAAGCAAAAAUAGAACGGAUAUAUCCAUCUGGAAGAAAGCAAAAUAAAAUCGGCUUAAAGACCACUCUUAAUAAUUCAACGUAAAGGAAGAUUCUGCCAAGGUGUCUGACCAGACACGUCUUCCUCUACUUGAACAUCAGAAAAACUAUCUCUUAUUCAAAGAUUAACACUUUGUGUUCCAAUGGGAAAAAAGAUAAAUAGUCGGAAGAAGUUUGGAUAAGAGUUUUUCAAAUCAAAAGCUAGAAUUCUAAAUUAAAAUAAGACCAAGUAUAAUUGUUUGACUUAGUGGAUCUUGCAAAGUUUAAAUAUACAGUCAUUCAUAUUAUAUAAUACUUGAUGCACAUCAAUAUCAUUUUGAAUUUGUUGAAGAACUCCAGACAAGAAAAGUCAAGGAUGUAUCGCGGUUUAUCUCAUUCACGGUAAAAUUUAAAUCUAACCGAGGAGUCUGAGGAGUUUCAUCCUUCGUCGAGAGAGCUGUCCUCGCGUAGGAGGUCCGCAAGAUCUCAUCUGUCCACAUUGUCCAAUAAAUAAAUAAAAGAAUUAUUACUCGAUAGAAGCCGGCAUGAAAUCGGAUAAAAGUUGUAAACGUAGCUUUCGCGCGCGCGAGAAAUCCACGGAAGUUGUAAAUUAUGAAGAACAAUAGCCUUAAACAGUCAGUAGAUGCGAUAAGAGGACGUUUGAAUCACGUCUUCUUCUUUGGAGUCUGAAUAACCGCAUACUAUUCGAAGAUACGAGUACCGGAGAAGAAGAAUGCUGAUUCCGUUGGUGUCGACGAUUCCACAGAAAGCGUUGAGUUUCAUUUCUGUUCCUCGACCUCUUAUAGCUAGUUUAGAGCGUUGGGAAAGCAAAAGAUAAAACGUCUACAUGGAAUAUGAAGUUCAUCUUAUUUGUUAUCAGAAUAUUUAAACUAUUUUUGCAUAACAAUAUCACGAAUAAUAAAAAAAUAAAUAAAAAUUGCCAGAAAGAUUGAAAUUAUUAUCUGACAUAAGAUUUUUUAAAUUUCUUUAAUUCAAAUUAAUCUUAAGUUUUUGAAACAUUAUGAUGCUUUAAUUAUCGUACCUUGAAAUUAACAUCAAUUUUUUUUCCUAAUCUCAAAAAUAUGAAAUCAGAAAAUUUCUUGAACUUUACUAAAAAGAUAUAAUCAAUCACGUUUAUGAUUUUCAACCUAUUACAUUUUAUUAUUCACAAAUAGUAUUAAUUUUUCUCUAAAAACCCAAAUUACAAAAUAUCCCUAUACAUCACCCUAUACAUCACCCUAUACAUCAUAACCUCAAAGAUCAUUUAAAAAUUUCAACAAAUUAUUCAACGCUGUAACAACAACUAUUACCUACUAUAACCCAUUUUCAGCAUUUUAAAAAUAAAAUACGAGAUACAGAGAAAAAAAUGGAAAAAAAAAACAAAAAAAAAACAACUAGGAGAAAAAAAGCUAUGAUUGAUCAAACUAGUGACGUGAGUGAGAAUGAAGAGAAACGAGAGAGACUCGAUAGCCCUGAGAGGACAUACCACUCUCGGUAAUAUAAGGUGGCGGAAUAGAUUACGACCCUUCACCCUCGAUAGUACUUCUCUGCUCUGUUGGGGACGGUCGCCGCCCUUAUUGCGAAAGACCACGAGUUUAUUGCGAACGACUGUGCGCCUCGUUCACCACCUACCCGAUUUAUGGGGAUAUAUAAGCGCAUACCACCGACAAAUUUCCCCAUAAUAACGUGGACCCACUAUAAUGUCCUUUCAUCAACACUUUUCUCGAUUUUACUUCUGGACGUUCAGUUAUCCAAAAGUAGAACGUUUCCAUGUUCAUAAUUGCGUUUUCAGAAGAUUCCUCAUAAAUUGUAGGUCCAAGUUAAUCUACUGGUGGUGAUGAUUACUGUAACUGUAAACUGUUUUAUACCAUGGAUUAUGAAGUUGAAAGAUAUGUUUAGCUUUGCAGUUUAAUUUGUUUCAUGAGAAGAGUCUAUUUUAGAAUUAUUGAAUAACGUGAUAUUUGGUGAGAUUUUACUAAUGACAAGUUAAAAAGUAUAAUAAACUUUCAAAGACUUAAAUAGAGGUGCAAAUUAAGAUACGAGAAAAAGAAAAUAACUGUUUAAAAUUUUAUUUAAUUGCCGAAUAUUUUAUUUAACUUACUUUCAUUCGACCAUUUUCUACGCCGAAAAUGAAAAGUUAUUACCUGCUGUUUUAAUACGAACCAGUGCGUGCUUUCAAAUAUGUACACUCAGAAAUGUUGGAUGAAAAACUUGCAACCGUGUUCAUUUCAUCAGAACAGUAUGCCAAAAAGAAUGUUACACAACAUGAGAACGAACACAACCUGAAAGCAAGAUUACACGAAGCACGUGUUUAUUCGUAUUUUUUUCUCGUAUUCAUAUAUGUAUAUCAUGACUUUUAUAAAGGAAAACUAUUUACAAAUUUUUAUAAUAUAAUACUUAAGAAUUUUUAAUUUUUCAGAUAUAAUUAAAGUUUUUUAUCAUUAUUUUUUAAUUUCCAUCUAAGAAAUGUUAAUUUCGUUUUUUGAAAAUUUAAUAUUUAUUUUAUUAUUAUUAAUAAAUUACCCUAUAAAUUAUUAUUAAUUAUUAAUUUAACACGUAAAUUAGUUUUAUUUUUCUAUUUUUUUUUGAUAAAUUUUUUCAUUUUUAUUCUCAUUUUUCACAUUAUAAAUUUUUAUUUUCAGAUACAACAAUUGUUUGGAUAAAAUUUACAUUAUAAAGAGAUAAAGUCGACAAUUAACCGAUCCGAUUAAUUCGUAUUUGCAUUUUCCUUGGAACAAAGUUGAAUCGAUAAAAUGGCGACUGUUCGAUUCUUUUCGUAGUGAAAUCGUCAUUGAAAGUACACACGAACGAGGUCGGAGAUUGCUUCGUAAAUUCUUUUAAUACUCGACCUUCUGUUCAGUAAAAGGGCGGCCGAGAAGGGGUGACUUUACGGAUCAAGGGUGCCGAGCAACAAGUGUGAUUCUAAGGGGGUGCUUCAGGGUCGUCACACGGCGGUGCUCAUUGUGGAUUUAUCGAUUUACCGCGUUGAAACAACAUUCAUAUUUAAACAGAACCAAUUCUUCUCGUUCUACUCACAUGCACAUCGCGUUUUGUAUUCGGAAAGUUUCCAAAGCGAAGACAUUUAUUCGAAUGAUAUACAAAAUUCCUUUUAGAAAUAGAAAAAAUAUUAGAUCAUUUAAAAAAAAAUUUAUACUAAUUAGCAAUUAGAUAUAAUUAAAUAUCUUCUAAAUAGUUUAGUAAUUUUUAUAAAUGAUGCAUUAUAUAUUAAAAAAUAUACGGUUAUAUUUUUAAAAAAAUACAAGUUGACUUUCAAGAUAUAUUAAAAAAAAAUUACACUAUUUUAUGUCUUUACGUCGAAUCCAUUUAAUUAUUAUUAUAUAAAUAUUUUUUAAUAUUUCUAAAAAUAAGUAAGAUAUUACUAUCGAUAAAAUUGUUGAGACAGAAUAUAUAUUUAUUGUAUAUAUUAUCAAGUUUAUUAUAUUUGUCAUAUCAUUUACAAAAAAAAUGUCUCAAAUUUUGAAACAAUUUCACCUCGAAAGCCAAGAUGCAUUGUUUUGUCGAGAGACGAAUUUCAAACAUAAGGAUGGUUUUGCCCCAUCGAAGACCGAAUUCUAUUAAGCAAAACACGAUUCGCUCGUUGUCAUCGUAUUUCAUUCUAAUUCGAAUCUUACGGGGGGUUACAGAACGUACGUGCUCCCCCAUGCAAUGGUCGAAGACAGAUGCGUAGGGUGGUUUCUGGAAUGGUAAAUACGCUUCACUCCCCUCGGUACUAUUGGCUCUUAUCGCGUUUCUGAAUUGUUUUUCGAAAGAGAAAUGUGAGCAUAAAACGACCCAUGAUUGCUACCGAUCCUAUCUUCCUGACUUUAUUGAAAUAAUCUCGAUGUCGUUUUAAUUUUAUAUGUUUGUAAAAUGCUUUUUCUUUUUUUUUAAUAUUGAGAUACAUAGUUAAUCAAAAGUUGACUGGUUUUUGUUCAAAACAUUCUUUUGUCCGAUUAUUGAAAACGCCUGAAAAAUUAUAUAAAUUAUAUAAUAUUACUACAUAUAUCUUUUGAUUCCAUAGGUUGAAAUAAAAUAAAAUUAUAUUAAAAACAUCAUUUUCCAAAGAAUUAAAUUUGAAAAACUUGAGAUUUUUAGAAUUAUUUAUCUUACUAAAUCUUUCAUCAAAUUAUUUGUACCAUAAAUUAUGAUAUACAUUAUAUAUUAAAUCAUAAUCAUAUCUUUAUCCAUUAAGUUAUUAAGUAUAUUUAUUGAAUAUUCCUAAAAAAAAUUCCCUAAACAUAACACUUCUCACGUAACCAAUUUCCUUUUCAAAAGAGAAACGAUCAGUUCAAUCUACAAUGUUUACGUGUAUCGAGGAAAUAAGAAGAAGGCAUUGAUUAAGAACAAGGCGGGAAAACGUUCAUCGAUUCAUCACUGAAACCCUUUUUCUUUUAUCCUCGGUUUCACGGCGUUCUUCUCCUCGAUUUCCACUAUUGGCAAAGCGAUAACUCGGUACGUUGGUCAUAAAUCAAACUGCCAGAGUGUUUCACCUAACCUCUCCAACAGGAAGCUUCCUCCACCAUACCAUCUCCUUCAUCCCGUGGCAAAUGAUCCGCGACCUUUCACUGUUCUUUUUAUUCACUUUUCUUCCUUUUCUUCCCUUCUCCCUUUUUUUAUAUUCUUCUUUUUUUCUCUCUUUUAUUCGCGGCCUUACCGCGUCAUGAAAAAUAAAUCCUGGAUUCAGGUUCAGGCCUUUGACAUUUUGGUAAAUUACUCAAGCCUCUUUUGUAUUGUUGUACAGAGUGUUUCCGGAUAUGCAUGAAAUAUCGACAGAUUGGGAAAAUGUCAGAGGUAUAUAAGCUCUGUUUUUCAAUAUUUUUUGGUUGGCAAGAUUUAUUCGAUUGUACGAGAUUCGUUGGUUUUGAUUUGAUGUCAUUCUAUGCUAUUUUCAGUAUUUAAACUUAUGAAAAGUCUAUAAUUUUAUCAUAUUAGAUUUGGUAACUAAUAAAAAAAGUGUAAUAUUUUUUAAAAUUUAUAUCGAAGAAAUUACAUUUUAACAAUUAAUCGAAAAAGAAAUUCAAUUCAACAUUUUCAAUUUUCACAAUUCAUACAUACAAUAAUAUCAGACGUAUCUAUCAAUUUUAAAUUCAGGAAAAUUUAAAAAUUUUCUCUAUAUACACAAUACAAUUCAAUCUUCAUACAUUAAAGUUAUCUAAAUCUAGUCCAAUUGUAAUUACAAAUCACAAGGCCUCCAUUCAGGUGACACUCUUUACUACCAAACAAUCCAUCAACUUUUCACGCAGUUCCCGCAACUGUACUCCGCUAUAAUAUUUACGACCGGUAAUUUCCUAGCAAUUAUCACCACUGUCACACAACAAGACUUAUUUAAACCGUUUUCAUUUGUCGCCCAUCCUUCUUCGCGCUAUAAAAAUUGCUAUCAUCACGAAAGAGAAGAAAAGAAAAAAAAAGAGAAUGAGCGUGACAAUUAAAUUAGACUUCGAACAAGCGCGACCAAGCUUGUUUAGGUUAGGUCUGUUUUAAUGUUCGUGAUUUGCCGGCGAAUUUUAAUUGCACUGUUGUCAAGUGAACGAGGGCCAAUUUUCAUUGGAUGAGGACUCGUUUAAACUCUGGGUGGAAACUGGUCCAAUAGGAAACAGGAUAUUGUCGGUGAGACAAAUAAAGCAUGGUAAUCGUAAAAUAUGGCAUUGGAAUUGAUUUUCGAAUUAAUUAAAUUUUAAAAAAAUAACAAAUUGAAAUUAUAAUGUAGUUAAUAAAUAAUGCAGUUCGAAUAAAAUGUUACAAACUAUUUUUUUUUUUAGAAAGUAUGAAGAAAUAGACUUUGAUUUUUAGUCGUUUAUUUUGAUAUACGUAGUGUUUUUAGAAGAUAUAAUAGAGGAUUUUUGUGAAAGUUUGGUAUAUAAAAAUUUUUUAAUCGGAAUAUACUAAAUUGUAAUCAAUUUAAAUUUAUAUUAGAUAAAAGAAGAUGAGAUAGAUUAGGAUAGAAUCAUCUUAUAAAUUUAAUUAAGAAAAAAUGAAAUGAUAUAUUUAUUUGUUUCUUAAAAAAUAAAUUAUAAAAUUUUAUUUGUAUUUUAUAAUUUUGAAGAAUUAUAUUUUUGAAUAAAAUUAUAAUAUAAAGAAUUGCUUAUAAAAAUUAUAUCUAAUGCUAUUAUAUUAUUUUAAAAUUAUUGGAAAAACAUGAAAGUCAGAAAAAUUUUGACAUCAUUAAUUCAUUUUGACAUCAUUUAUUACUGUAUUGAAAAUUUUUUUUUCAAUUAAUUCAAAUCUACAAUUAUGUCCAAAAUAUUUUUCUAUCAGAUUAUUUCACUUUCUCAAAGCUAAUAAUUAUCUUUUAAUUAAUUGUCUAAUAAUAAUCUAUGUAAUAAAUAUUGUCAUAAUAUAAUACUUACAUAAUACUUACAAAUACUUACAUAAUAAUUACAAAUUAUGCUAUAUUAUCCAUCAAAAAAUUUAAAGUUCAAUAUACAAUUCAGAUUUUUAAAUCAAUCGAUUUGAUAUUUUAAUCUGGAAUUUCAUUACAUUUACUAAAUUAUACCAUUUUUCAUAUAGCUAAUAAUCAUGCAUGCUACACUUGAACUUUGUACUUUUGUAUCCGAACGAAUGAAUUAUCUUUUCCGCGUAUAAUUUCACGCAGGUGCACAAUUCUAAACAGUGAAACGAAGAAAUAGAAGUGCAAAGAUGAUCGUGUCCCGUAAUCCACGAUGGGAAAUCUUAUAUUCUCUUCCACUUACAUCGCUACGUGACCGAGGGCUUCGAUGUCAAUGAGAUAAAUGGAAUUUGUUUUUUAAUGACGGAGGUCGAGAAUUAGAAAUCAAGGAUUUUAAUAAAGUGGUCGGAAAAGAUUUAAGUUUUGUAGUUAAAUAUUAUUAGAUGGAAUCAUGUAUCAAUUUGUUCUAAUAGUAAAGUUAUCGAGAAGUGAUUAUAAUAUGGAUUAGUAUAUAAUAUUCAGCCAUAUUGGAUAUUGGAUGAAAAAUUAUAAAUCAAUAAAAAAAAAUAACUUGAUAUUAAUUUUUUUUAAUCUAAAAUAAGAAUAAAAUAUAAUAAAAAUAUAUAUACACUUAUAUAGAGAUACAUAUAUAGAGAGUAUAUACACUUAUAUACUCUCGUCAAAAUUUACUCAAAACAUUUAUUAUACAACACUAACAUGAUAUAACCUAUAAUAUAUAUGGAUCAAAAAUAACUACUAUAUUAUUACUUAAAUUACACUAUUCAACUAUCACAUUCAUAAGAUAUCUCAAUGGUCUCCAAAUCCAUAAAAUGUUUUAUUCAAUCGUGAUUAUGCUGCAUUCUGCACAAACGAAUUCCAAAACUGUCUGAGCACCACUGUAAGACCACCUUGUAAAGUUAAAGAAAGACAGCACAAGCCGGAUGCACGAGUAGAAGCGAGAAGAAACGAACGACAGAAAAGUGAAGUGGAGGGAAGGGGAGAGUUUAGGUUAGGAUGCGCCAGGCCAGGAAAUGCACUUGACGCAGCGUCGCCGCGGAGGAUGAGUCAUCGGAGAUACGGAAAACCGGUUCGCCACGACUAUAAGCCUUUUCCCUUGGCAGCACAUCUCGAGCCGAUUCGUACCAUGGCGAGUUCUUUCCGCCACUCUUUCUUUUCCUCGCCUUCUUUUCUUCCGAGAGCAGUCGCCACUUCCAUGAGUUUGUCUCGUUUGGCUACUAUGCCAUCUCUUCUGCUGUCUUGUUGCGCCAAUGCUUCGACAGAGGGACUAAAGGUGGAUCUCAAUUGCAUCGUCAGUCCUUACUUUGUUACAUCAUAUAUUGUGCUUCGUAUCAUAUACAACGUAAGGAAAAACGAAGAUUGACUAGAAAUUUUAUAUCUAUUAUGUCUAUUAUGUCUACUUUUUUGAUUUUUGUUUUUUUAUUUAAAAUUGUUGUUAAAUAAUUACGGUUAUAAUCUACCCAACAUAACCUAUAAGAUAAUAGUUGUUAUUAUCCAUUGAAAAAAAAAAUAAAGAUUUAAUUUAGACAUAUAAUAAAUAAUAAGUUUAUAUACUAAAUAGUAGUUUUAAUUAAAUUUAUUUUUUCUAUAAAUAGAUAAUACAAAAUUAUUGGAUAUCAAAUUUUUAUUUUUUUUCUUAUAAACAAUAGUAGAAUUAAUUUAAAUAUUAAUUAAUGCUAACUAAUAAAUUAUAUAUUUAUAUUAAUAUAAUAUAAUAUUAUAAUAAUUUUGGUUAGACUAAAUUUUUAAUUUUAUAGUUAUAGUUUAUCAUUCAUCAAUUAGAAUAAUGGACUGAACCAAAAUUAUACGUUAGAUUAUUAUUACAUCCAAUGAUCAAUAAUAAAAUUUCCAAAAUAUAACAAAUUGAUUAAAAUAGAAGACUUAAAUAACUAUGUAGUAUAUGUUUAUUUUUUAUUGAAAAUUGAUAUUUUCACAAAAUAUUUUUAAAUAUAUAAAUUAUCAUAAGGAUUCUAUAUUAGAAGUGACUUUUUACAUAUUAGAAACUCAUUGAUAAUAAAUACUAAUGUAAUAGAUAAUAUCAUCAUAAAACAAACAUGGAAAACUGAUUAGUUAGUCAUGAAUUUUGCAAAAAUUUAAAAUUUUAAUGCAAAAUAUUAGAUAUUCAUGUUUAACUGAAAAUUUAUACAUAUAUUUUUCAAAUAAUCAUUUUAAAAUUGUUUCCAGUUUUUAUUGAAUAUUGGAUAUUUUUAUUGGAUAUUUAUCUAUUAUAAAACUUAACCUAAUUUUUUUUCAAUUUUCUAUAUAUAUGUAACAUAAAUUUGCAUAAAGAAAAAUUUAUUUCAGAAAUUUUUAUCUUUUUUUUCUAAUUUUAAUAGGGAAAUGAUUUUUCAUUAAAAAUUUAAAUAACUUUACAUUAAUUUCGAAUAUCAGUGAAGUAAUUUUCACUGAAGAAUCAUGCUUUUUGCAUAAGAACAGAUACAUUUAUGAUACAAACAAACUAUAUCUUUAUGUUAAUUCUUUGUUUUAUCGCCUUUUUUUUUAAUGCGCGUGACGUAACACAAAUAUACACAUGUACUUACGUCAACUAAAAAGACGCAUAAAAUCGAAUUUAAUUAUCAUCAUUACUUACUGUGCUAUCUUUAUGCUAAUCGAGAAUUUUUUUCUUAAUUGUGAAAUAUAAAACUAUGAUACAUUAUUUAUAUCAGGAUGAUUUUGCACAUGAUUUUUCUCCAAUUUUUUUAUUUUAAUAUUAUUUUUAGAUAUUUGAUUUAAUAAUUUUUAUCUAUUUCAUAACUUUGCAUAAUCAUUUUGAAAUUUGAAUAAGAAUAAUAGUACAUUUUAAUUUUUACAGAAAAAAGUAUUUUCAUUUUUUUUUCUUCCAAUGCAUAACUAUAAUUUCUACCUUUAUCUCUUAAUUGAAUCUCUAUUGAACGCAAUACAUAUUCUCUGAAAUUGAUAUUGUCUAUUGCCUAUAAGAUCAUAUCAAUCCGAUUACUAUAUUAUUUUCAUUAUAUUAAUUUUCGAUCAUAAUUUUCUUAUUGAAUAAUUUUUAUACUCUUCGAUUAAAAAUUUUUAUUAUAAUUUCAAUCAUUGAUAAUUUAUGAUAUUACAUUACAAUACAAUUUUCGUUUGAUAAUUGUUCGUUUUAUUUUUUUUUUAUCAUUUUUUUAUCGUGUAUUCUUUAAUUAAAAUGAUUAUAAUUAUUAUACUUCGUUGUUUACAAACGAACGCGUAUAUCUAAAUAUGCAAACUCGGCGAAAUUACAUUAUUUGCAGAACAUUGAAUUUCACUCUUGAGAUUAAAAUUAUCAACUCUUGCGAGAUAAUAAAGGCAAUGUCACGAAUGCGUGAUGACUAAUUGACUAAAUUAUUCGUUUCUAAUUUUAUAAAAUCAAGCUAAUUUACAAAAUUUUAAUCAUAUCAUUGUUUUAUUUCAAUUAUAUAAAAAUACCAAAUUAUAACUAAAUUAUAACUUUUAAAAUAAUAUAUCUUAUAAAAAAGAUAAAAUAUAGAAAUUUUUUCAUUUAAUAAAUGAUUAUUUAUCUUGACUAUUAUUAUAUAUAUUAUAUUAAUACUAUUCUUAGUUUUUCCUUUCAAUUUUUUUAAGAAAUGUUACAAAAUGGCGGAAUUUUCAAAUAAAAUUUGUUACAUAUUUCAACAGGAUAAUUUAAUAUAAUAGUAAUAUUUAUAAAUGUUAUUUUAAUUUUGUAUUCAUGAUGUCAUUCAUGUACAAGAUGAACGAUAUCGUUCAUGAUAUAUCAUACGAUGUUUUUCACUUAUUUUAAUAUAUAGACUCAUCUCUUCAGGUAUGAAUAUAAAUUCAUGAAUCAUCUUGUAUAAUAAAAUAGUAUAAUAAUCACAAUAUAAUAGUCAAGAUUAAUAUAAUAGUAUAAUUUGAUAUUAUUAUUUAAUUAAUAUUAUUAUAUUGUAGAAUAUUCGUAUUAUUAUGAACAUUUUCAAUGAUAAAUUGUAACUAUUUAAAUUAAUAAUUGUUCCAGCAAUAAUAUAGUUAUAAUACUUAAAUAUGUAGAUAUGUUAAAACGUCUGGGAAAUAUUCGUAACAGGUAAUCUUAACGCUAAUAAUAAAUUUAUCUUGUUUGAGCAACACUCGAGACUUCAGACAGAUAUAAGGAUAAAAAUUGUUUUCUAUCUCGUAAUAAUGAGUCAUAUUUAAUUUGUGUUAAUGGAAUUGCAAUAUUUGCUUAUUUAUUUCAAUUAUUUUUCUACAUGUUAUUAUUCGAUAGCAAAGAUAAAAAUAAGAUAUGACAAUUUAAAUUUCUAACAUGAGAUCAAUUUUAACAUUAAAAACAUAUUAAUUAUUAAUGAUAUAUGAUAAAAAAAAGAUCAAAAAUUAAAUUUUGCAUAUAUGAAAAACUUCAAGUAAACUUUUUUAAACUAAUAAUCAAAGUAAAAAUAAUUGUACAAUUUCUAUUCUAUUCUCUCAUUCUAAUAUCUUGAAAAUUUCAUACAUACUUCAACAAACUCGGUUUUUCCCUAAAAUUCUCCACAGAACAAUAACAUAAAUUAAAAUUUUAAUCCUUGCAACACUUCAAAAAUUAAAUUUCAAAGAUUUUAAAUAAAUUUUUUUUCAUUAAUAUUCACAAAUUAUAAAAGUAAAAUUACACAAUUUCUAAUUCCAAUAUUCUGGACACCCUAUAUAUGUAUGCUUCAACAAAAUCUGCUCAGGUAUUCCCAAAACGUUCCGAACAAACGGUUCCGUGGCCACUAACGUUAAUUUAUUCUCGUUUUUAAUCUCCUUCCCAUCCAAGUAGUCCGAUGGAGCAAUGUUCAGAAUUUCCACUCAAGGCCUUCUCCAACGAGAUCGUGCCAGCCUCUGGUUUAAUGACAUUUGAAAGGAUCCAGGAAAAAGGUCAAGAUGCAUCGAUGCGGCCACAUUGUGGAGGAUUCGUGUCGACUUCGCAAGAUGAGCACGAAAUCUCUCUGUCCUGUCUCUCUCUUUCUCCCUCUCUUCCUCCUUGUACCCUUUGGACAAACCAACUCUCCCUCUCUGUCUUUGUCCAUCUCUAACCAACGUUAAAGGCCGUUCUUCCAUCUCUGUCUUCGAGUCGGUAAAACCGGUGCAAAAGGUAGCCACGAAGCGAGAGAGCAAGAAGUGAAACUUCUCGCGGGGAAUGGCGAUUUGU